rnacentral:rRNA from 1 species
GGAACUACGAGCAUUAGCUUAAAACCCAAAGGACUUGGCGGUGCUUUAGACCCCCCUAGAGGAGCCUGUUCUAGAACCGAUAAUCCCCGUUAAACCUCACCCUCCCUUGUCAUCCCCGCCUAUAUACCGCCGUCGUCAGCUUACCCUGUGAAGGCACUAUAGUAAGCAAAACUAGUAAAACCCAAAACGCCAGGUCGAGGUGUAGCAUAUGAGAGGGAAAGAAAUGGGCUACAUUCCCUACUUUAGGGAACACGGAUAAUGUAAUGAAAAGUACAUUAGAAGGAGGAUUUAGC